AGAGUUUGAUCCUGGUUCUGGAUGUUUGCUGGCGGCGCGCUUAAUGCAUGCAAGUCGAGCGAUGAGGCCCCUUCGGGGGUACAUCAGCGGCAGACGGGUGAGUAACACGUAGGCAACCUGCCCUUCAGACGGGGAUAACAGUUGGAAACGGCUGCUAAUACCCGAUAGGUACCCGGGGUUAUCGAGAUUCGGGGUAUAAAGUUACGGCGCUGAAGGAGGGGCCUGCGGUCCAUCAGUUAGUUGGUGAGGUAACGGCUCACCAAGACGAAGACGGGUAGGGGGUGUGAGAGCAUGGCCCCCCACAAUGGGACUGAGAUACGGCCCAUACUCCUACGGGAGGCAGCAGCAGGGAAUCUUGCACAAUGGACGGAAGUCUGAUGCAGCGA
rnacentral:rRNA from 1 species